rnacentral:lncRNA from 1 species
UCAUCAAUGAAUAUUAGAACCCCAAUUCGAGCCCUCACUUCAGUUUCUACCAGUUUGUUUUCGGAUGGAAAAAGCAAAGUCUUGGUCUAACCUCAAAUUCCCAUUGCCCACUAUGAUCUCUUUGUAGCAAAUAAUGGUUCUCACAACACGCCCAGUAAUGGAGACGAGACUUUUGACUUCUGGCCAGGUGAGAAUGACCUUCACUCUCUUGUCCCUCUGUAUCUCUGCUUGCUUUCCCAAAGACUCCCAAGAAAAAAUUAUCACUCUCUGGUUCUUCUUUUCCUAGACUGAUUUCCCCUGCUCACAGGUCCUCUCUUGUUUCCCAAACCAAUAGGAACCCCUCAAAAUAUCUACAAACCGGUCACAGAAGCACUCUUCCCAUGAUGCCCGCUGCACACUAUUCAAUGUGGAGGAGAUCACUUACAUCAACUGAAAAAUAGAUCACCAUGCAUAAACCUAUGCUGCCCCGGGGGAUUCACAACAAACUUCAUUUACUAACUUUUGAGCUCUGACUAUUCUCUCUCGCAAGCUAUCAUCUCUGCUGCCUACAAGUCAUGGGACUUCCCAAUAAGCUUCUUGUUUUAGAAUCUUCCACUGAGCUCCGAUAGUAUCGGCUUUAGAGGGCCAUAACAGCGAUUCAGCGACUUCUCAAUCAGUUAGCCAAAAGAUCUUGAGAAUACGCUCCCAUACAAGGAUUCAUGGCCAGUUUUGGGUCCUCCCUCUACCACAACUCACGCAUUGAACGGGAUCCAGAAAUAGGAGUGGCCUCGUCAUGAAAAAAAGCAUAAAACAGGGCAUAGAAGAAAACAAGUAAAAAGGUCCUCAAAGAAGGCUUCACAUCAUGAGUUAUCCGUGAACCUUCUCUGAUUUAGGUGAGAAAAAUAGCAUCAAAUGCAACUAUGACCAUUUUCACAAUAGGAGCAAAACAUACUAAGAUUAACAGUGGUAAACAUGCAGGCAAGAUUAUGUUUCAACAAGCAAUAAGUCGCCUUCAUUAUCCACCCCAAGCAAAUCAACAAAUAUUCAAAU